GACGAACGCUGGCGGCGUGCUUAACACAUGCAAGUCGAACGGUAAGGCCCUUCGGGGUACACUAGUGGCGAACGGGUGAGUAACACGUGGGUGAUCUGCCCUGCACUUCGGGAUAAGCCGGGGAAACUGUGUUUAAUACCGGACAGGACCACUGCCUGCAUGGGAUGUGGUGGAAAGCUUUUGCGGUGUGGGAUGGGCCCGGGGCCGAUCAGCUUGUUGGUGGGGUGAUGGUCUACAAAGGAGACGACGGGUAGCCGGCCUGAGAGGGUGAGCGGACACACUGGGACUGAGAUACGGCCCAGACUCCUACGGGAGGCAGCAGUGGGGAAUACUGUACAAUGGGCGAAAGACUGAUGCAGCGACGCCGCGUGAGGGAUGACGGCCUUCGGGUUGUAAACCUCUUUCAGCACCGACGAAGCGCAAGUGACGGUAGGUGCAGAAGAAGGACCGGCCAACUACGUGCCAGCCGCCGCCGUAA
rnacentral:rRNA from 1 species